GGUGGCUCAGAGGUAGAGUGCUUGCCUUGCAUGCAUGAGGCCCUUGGUUCGAUUCCUCAGCACCA
rnacentral:tRNA from 1 species